UAAGGAGGAUGCGAGCGUUAUCCGGAUUUACUGGGUGUAAAGGGAGCGUAGACGGCGGCGCAAGUCUGAAGUGAAAGCCCGUGGCUCAACCGCGGAACCGCUUUGGAAACUGCGAGGCUGGAGUGCUGGAGAGGUAAGCGGAAUUCCUGGUGUAGCGGUGAAAUGCGUAGAUAUCAGGAGGAACACCGGUGGCGAAGGCGGCUUACUGGACAGUGACUGACGUUGAGGCUCGAAAGCGUGGGGAGCGAACAGG
rnacentral:rRNA from 1 species